GUGCUCGCUUUGGCAGCACAUAUAGUAAAAUUGGAAUGAUACAAGAUUAGCAUGGCCCCUGCACAAAGAUGACACGCAAAUUCAUGAAGCACUCCAUAUGUUU
ensembl:snRNA U6 U6 spliceosomal RNA